rnacentral:rRNA from 1 species
GACGAACGCUUGCGGCGUGCUUAACACAUGCAAGUCGAACGGAAAGGCCCUGCUUUUGUGGGGUGCUCGAGUGGCGAACGGGUGAGUAACACGUGAGUAACCUGCCCUUGACUUUGGGAUAACUUCAGGAAACUGGGGCUAAUACCGGAUAGGAGCUCCUGCUGCAUGGUGGGGGUUGGAAAGUUUCGGCGGUUGGGGAUGGACUCGCGGCUUAUCAGCUUGUUGGUGGGGUAGUGGCUUACCAAGGCUUUGACGGGUAGCCGGCCUGAGAGGGUGACCGGCCACAUUGGGACUGAGAUACGGCCCAGACUCCUACGGGAGGCAGCAGUGGGGAAUAUUGCACAAUGGGCGGAAGCCUGAUGCAGCAACGCCGCGUGCGGGAUGACGGCCUUCGGGUUGUAAACCGCUUUCGCCUGUGACGAAGCGUGAGUGACGGUAAUGGGUAAAGAAGCACCGGCUAACUACGUGCCAGCAGCCGCGGUGAUACGUAGGGUGCGAGCGUUGUCCGGAUUUAUUGGGCGUAAAGGGCUCGUAGGUGGUUGAUCGCGUCGGAAGUGUAAUCUUGGGGCUUAACCCUGAGCGUGCUUUCGAUACGGGUUGACUUGAGGAAGUUAGGGGAGAAUGGAAUUCCUGGUGGAGCGGUGGAAUGCGCAGAUAUCAGGAGGAACACCAGUGGCGAAGGCGGUUCUCUGGGCCUUUCCUGACGCUGAGGAGCGAAAGCGUGGGGAGCGAACAGGCUUAGAUACCCUGGUAGUCCACGCUGUAAACGGUGGGUACUAGGUGUGGGGUCCAUUCCACGGGUUCCGUGCCGUAGCUAACGCUUUAAGUACCCCGCCUGGGGAGUACGGCCGCAAGGCUAAAACUCAAAGGAAUUGACGGGGCCCCGCACAAGCGGCGGAGCAUGCGGAUUAAUUCGAUGCAACGCGUAGAACCUUACCUGGGUUUGACAUGGAUCGGGAGUGCUCAGAGAUGGGUGUGCCUCUUUUGGGGUCGGUCCACAGGUGGUGCAUGGCUGUCGUCAGCUCGUGUCGUGAGAUGUUGGGUUAAGUCCCGCAACGAGCGCAACCCUUGUUCACUGUUGCCAGCACGUUAUGGUGGGGACUCAGUGGAGACCGCCGGGGUCAACUCGGAGGAAGGUGGGGAUGACGUCAAGUCAUCAUGCCCCUUAUGUCCAGGGCUUCACGCAUGCUACAAUGGCUGGUACAGAGAGUGGCGAGCCUGUGAGGGUGAGCGAAUCUCGGAAAGCCGGUCUCAGUUCGGAUUGGGGUCUGCAACUCGACCUCAUGAAGUCGGAGUCGCUAGUAAUCGCAGAUCAGCAACGCUGCGGUGAAUACGUUCCCGGGGCU